UACAGAGGUGGCAAGCGUUGUUCGGAAUUACUGGGCGUAAAGGGCGCGUAGGCGGUUCGAUAAGUCAGCUGUGAAAACCAUGGGCUUAACUCAUGGCCUGCAGUUGAGACUGUCGGGCUGGAGUGUGGGAGAGGAGAGUGGAAUUCCUGGUGUAGCGGUGAAAUGCGUAGAUAUCAGGAGGAACACCGGUGGCGAAGGCGCCCACCUGGCCUGCUACUGACGCUGAAGCUCGAAAGCUAGGGGAGCAAACGGG
rnacentral:rRNA from 1 species